UCCUCUGUAGCUCAGUGGCAGAGCACUGGCUUUUUAAACCAGGAGUGUGAGUUCAAUCCUCACAGGAGGCA